rnacentral:rRNA from 1 species
UACGUAGGGUGCGAGCGUUUGUCCGGAAUUAUUGGGCGUAAAGAGCUCGUAGGCGGUGUGUCGCGUCGGCCGUGAAAACCUGCAGCUUAACUGUGGGCUUGCGGUCGAUACGGGCAUCACUGGAGUUCGGCAGGGGAGACUGGAAUUCCUGGUGUAGCGGUGAAAUGCGCAGAUAUCAGGAGGAACACCGGUGGCGAAGGCGGGUCUCUGGGCCGAUACUGACGCUGAGGAGCGAAAGCCGUGGGGAGCGAACAGG